UACGUAUGGAGCAAGCGUUAUCCGGAUUUACUGGGUGUAAAGGGAGCGCAGGCGGUGCGGCAAGUCUGAUGUGAAAACCCGGGGCUUAACCCCGGGACUGCAUUGGAAACUGCCGGACUAGAGUGCCGGAGAGGUAAGUGGAAUUCCUAGUGUAGCGGUGAAAUGCGUAGAUAUUAGGAGGAACACCAGUGGCGAAGGCGGCUUACUGGACGGUAACUGACGCUGAGGCUCGAAAGCGUGGGGAGCAAACAGG
rnacentral:rRNA from 1 species